rnacentral:rRNA from 1 species
GACGGAGGAUGCAAGUGUUAUCCGGAAUCACUGGGCGUAAAGCGUCUGUAGGUGGUUCGAAAAGUCCACUGUUAAAAAUUGAAGCUUAACUUCAAAGAUGCCGUGGAAACUUUUAAACUUGAGUAUGAUAGGGGUAGAGGGAAUUUCCAGUGGAGCGGUGAAAUGCGUAGAUAUUGGAAAGACCACCAAUGGCGAAGGCACUCUACUGGGCCAUUACUGACACUGAGAGACGAAAGCUAGGGGAGCGAAUGGG